rnacentral:misc_RNA from 1 species
UUCGGAGAAUUAAUUGAAAAAAUAUACAGAACAACUCAUACAAGAUAUAUAGUCAAAUUUCUUAGGGGGAAGAAGUGAAGUAUGAAGAAAGCAUUUUCUUCGAAUAAGACAACAUGACAAACAUAGGAAAAUUCAUUACAAUCUUUACUGUCUUGUUGUCAUGUGAAAGCUCUUAGAAGUGUAUCCUGCUUGGUUGAGAUUUCUCCAUCCUGGUUUCUCCAUAAGGCUCGUCAUUAUCGAUUCGUUUGUUGUGCCUAAAGGCCGCUAUUGCAACCAUAUAUAUAAUCACAAGAAUGAUCAAUAUGACAAUGUUAAUGACAGACACUUUCCUCCAACUCUUUUUCAGACUUGCCAGAACACCAGCUUUGCAAGAGUUGCAGUUAUAACAGAGUUGUUGUUGAUAAUUGCUCCAUCUACCACAAUCAGGAUCACUUCCUACGAUCCCGCUUCCUGGGUUCCACACCGUCUCAUUCAGGUAAGUGUACCCACAUUCUGUAGGGGGCUUGCAACAACCAGACUCAAGAGGACUAAGCUUUCUAAGAUUAAACAUCUCAACAGGCUCUGGAAUUCCUCUAUUAUAGGUCCUUCUCAUCUUCCCACAAACAUGAGAAUCCCUAAUACAAGAACUGAUUUUUGACCAAUAACUCUGACUUGUAACUCUUUCUUCCAACCACCCAGAAUAAUCUUGCAAAUGGUACUCUGAGUAGACCCGGUUCAUAACGGGUCGACCCGACCCUUUGUCAGUGACAGCAUAAGCAAAAAUGACAAAUCCAAUCAAAGCAGCAAUGAUAAAGAACAUAGCCCAAAGGUAAAGAUACAUAAGGAAAGUGUUUCUAUAACAAGCACCAGCAAAACCUGCUAAAGAAACAACCAUAAUAGAAACCCCAAUAACUAUUAAGGGCCAUUGAAGAAAUUUUAAGCAAUCUGUGUUGUUG